AUUGAACGCUGGCGGUAGGCCUAACACAUGCAAGUCGGACGAGUGGCGGACGGGUGAGUAAUGCAUCGGGAUCUGCUUGGUGGCGGGGGAUAACGAAGGGAAACUGUCGCUAAUACCGCAUACGAUCGAAUGAGCCGAUGUGGGAUUAGCUAGUUGGUGGGGUAACGGCUCACCAAGGCGACGAUCCGUAGCUGGUCUGAGAGGAUGAUCAGCCACACUGGGACUGAGACACGGCCCAGACUCCUACGGGAGGCAGCAGUGGGGAAUCUUCGGCAAUGGGCGAAAGUCUGACGCAGCAAUGCCGCGUGUGUGAAGAAGGCUUUCGGAUUGUAAAGCACUGUUGUUCGAGAGGCGGUACCUAACGAGGAAGCCACGGCUAACUUCGUGCCAGCAGCCGCGGUAAUAC
rnacentral:rRNA from 1 species